rnacentral:rRNA from 1 species
CUGGUAGUCACGCCGUAAACGAUGAGUGCUAAGUGUUAGGGGGUUCCGCCCUUUAGUGCUGCAGCUAACGCAUUAAGCACUCCGCUGGGGAGUACGACCGCAAGGUUGAAACUCAAAGGAAUUGACGGGGGCCCGCACAAGCGGUGGAGCAUGUGGUUUAAUUCGAAGCAACGCGAAGAACCUUACCAGGUCUUGACAUCCUUUGACAACUCUAGAGAUAGGGCUUUCCCUUCGGGGACAAAGUGACAGGUGGUGCAUGGUUGUCGUCAGCUCGUGUCGUGAGAUGUUGGGUUAAGUCCCGCAACGAGCGCAACCCUUAUUGUUAGUUGCCAUCAUUCAGUUGGGCACUCUAGCGAAACUGCCGGUGACAAACCGGAGGAAGGUGGGGAUGACGUCAAAUCAUCAUGCCCCUUAUGACCUGGGCUACACACGUGCUACAAUGGACAGUACAAUGAGCAGCGACACGGCGACGUGAAGCGAAUCUCAUAAAGCUGUUCUCAGUUCGGAUUGUAGGCUGCAACUCGCCUACAUGAAGCCGGAAUCGCUAGUAAUCGCGGAUCAGCACGCCGCGGUGAAUACGUUCCCGGGCCUUGUACACACCGCCCGUCACACCACGAAAGUUUGUAACACCCAAAGUCGGUGAGGUAACCUUCGGGAGCCAGCCGCCUAAGGUGGGAUAGAUGAUUGGGGUGAAGUCGUAACAAGGUAACCA